UGAAGAUUGAUAAUGCUGUCAACCAC
rnacentral:sRNA from 1 species